rnacentral:sRNA from 1 species
GAAUAGCCCUGAUAGGAGCGGCAUCCUUUUUUUCGGCGGCGGAGCGAAGCGGAGCCGCGGUAAAAAAGAUAUAGCGGAUAGCAGGAAUCAGC